GGUGGCCCAGUGGUUAGAGCGUCCGCUUCGAAUGCGAAAGACCGUGGGUUCUAACCUCGGCCAAUUCA